UACAGAGGGUGCGAGCGUUGUUCGGAAUUAUUGGGCGUAAAGGCGCGUAGGCGGCGCCACAAGUCACCUGUGAAACUCUGGGCUCAACCCAGAGCCUGCAGGCGAAACUGUGGUGCUGGAGUAUGGGAGAGGUGCGUGGAAUUCCCGGUGUAGCGGUGAAAUGCGCAGAUAUCGGGAAGAACACCCGUGGCGAAGGCGGCUCUCUGGGACGGUACUGACGCUGAGACGCGAAAGCGUGGGGAGCGAACAGG
rnacentral:rRNA from 1 species